GACGAACGCUGGCGGCAGGCCUAACACAUGCAAGUCGAGCGAGCGGCGGACGGGUGAGUAAUGUAUGGGGACUGCCCGAUAGAGGGGGAUAACUACUGGAAACUGUGGCUAAUACCGCAUCCUCUCGGAUAACCCAUAUGGGAUUAGCUAGUAGGUGGGGUAAAGGGUCACCUAGGCGACGAUCUCUAGCUGGUCUGAGAGGAUGAUAAGCCACACUGGGAUGGAGAAACGGCCCAAACUGCUACGGAGGCAGCAGUGGGGAAUAGUGCACAAUGGGGGCAGACCUGAUGCAGCCAGGCCGAGUGUAUGAAGAAGGCCUUAGGGUUGUAAAGUACUUUAAGCGGGGAGGCGUUACCCGCAGAAGAAGCAACGGCUAACUCCGUGCCAGCCGCCGCGGUAAUUC
rnacentral:rRNA from 1 species